CAUCUUAGUACCCGGAGGAAGAGAAAGAAAAUUCGAUUCCCUUAGUAGCGGCGAGCGAAACGGGAAGAGCCCAAACCAACAAGCUUGCUUGUUGGGGUUGUAGGACACUCUAUACGGAGUUACAAAGGACGACAUUAGACGAAUCAUCUGGAAAGAUGAAUCAAAGAAGGUAAUAAUCCUGUAGUCGAAAAUGUUGUCUCUCUUGAGUGGAUCCUGAGUACGACGGAGCACGUGAAAUUCCGUCGGAAUCUGGGAGGACCAUCUCCUAAGGCUAAAUACUCUCUAGUGACCGAUAGUGAACCAGUACCGUGAGGGAAAGGUGAAAAGCACCCCGGAAGGGGAGUGAAAUAGAACCUGAAACCGUGUGCUUACAAGUAGUCAGAGCCCGUUAAUGGGUGAUGGCGUGCCUUUUGUAGAAUGAACCGGCGAGUUACGAUUUGAUGCAAGGUUAAGCAGUAAAUGUGGAGCCGUAGCGAAAGCGAGUCUGAAUAGGGCGUUUAGUAUUUGGUCGUAGACCCGAAACCAGGUGAUCUACCCUUGGUCAGGUUGAAGUUCAGGUAACACUGAAUGGAGGACCGAACCGACUUACGUUGAAAAGUGAGCGGAUGAACUGAGGGUAGCGGAGAAAUUCCAAUCGAACCUGGAGAUAGCUGGUUCUCUCCGAAAUAGCUUUAGGGCUAGCCUCAAGUGAUGAUUAUUGGAGGUAGAGCACUGUUUGGACGAGGGGCCCCUCUCGGGUUACCGAAUUCAGACAAACUCCGAAUGCCAAUUAAUUUAACUUGGGAGUCAGAACAUGGGUGAUAAGGUCCGUGUUCGAAAGGGAAACAGCCCAGACCACCAGCUAAGGUCCCAAAAUAUAUGUUAAGUGGAAAAGGAUGUGGCGUUGCCCAGACAACUAGGAUGUUGGCUUAGAAGCAGCCAUCAUUUAAAGAGUGCGUAAUAGCUCACUAGUCGAGUGACACUGCGCCGAAAAUGUACCGGGGCUAAACAUAUUACCGAAGCUGUGGAUUGUCCUUUGGACAAUGGUAGGAGAGCGUUCUAAGGGCGUUGAAGCAUGAUCGUAAGGACAUGUGGAGCGCUUAGAAGUGAGAAUGCCGGUGUGAGUAGCGAAAGACGGGUGAGAAUCCCGUCCACCGAUUGACUAAGGUUUCCAGAGGAAGGCUCGUCCGCUCUGGGUUAGUCGGGUCCUAAGCUGAGGCCGACAGGCGUAGGCGAUGGAUAACAGGUUGAUAUUCCUGUACCACCUAUAAUCGUUUUA
rnacentral:rRNA from 1 species